rnacentral:rRNA from 1 species
UACGUAGGGUGCGAGCGUUAAUCGGAAUUACUGGGCGUAAAGCGUGCGCAGGCGGUUCGUUGUGUCGGCGGUGAAAGCCCCGGGCUCAACCUGGGAAUGGCCGUUGAAACUGGCGAACUGGAGUGUGGCAGAGGGGGGUGGAAUUCCUGGUGUAGCGGUGAAAUGCGCAGAUAUCAGGAGGAACACCGAUGGCGAAGGCAGUGGUCUGGGCCGAUACUGACGCUGAGGAGCGAAAGCGUGGGGAGCGAACAGG